rnacentral:rRNA from 1 species
UACAGAGGUCCCAAGCGUUUGUUCGGAUUCACUGGGCGUAAAGGGUGCGUAGGUGGUUAGGUAAGUCCGAUGUGAAAUCUCCAGGCUCAACCUGGAAAUGGCAUUGGAUACUAUUUAGCUUGAGGAGUGGAGGGGGGGACUGGAAUUCUCGGUGUAGCAGUGAAAUGCGUAGAUAUCGAGAGGAACACCAGUGGCGAAGGCGAGUCCCUGGACACUUCCUGACACUGAGGCACGAAAGCUAGGGGAGCAAACAGG